AUUUAUAUAGUUUAAAAUAAAACAUUACAUUUUCAUUGUAAAAAUAAUUUUAUUAUUUAUAAAUA
rnacentral:tRNA from 1 species